AUUGAACGCUGGCGGCAGGCCUAACACAUGCAAGUCGAACGGUAACAGGAAGCAGCUUGCUGCUUUGCUGACGAGUGGCGGACGGGUGAGUAAUGUCUGGGAAACUGCCUGAUGGAGGGGGAUAACUACUGGAAACGGUAGCUAAUACCGCAUAACGUCGCAAGACCAAAGAGGGGGACCUUCGGGCCUCUUGCCAUCGGAUGUGCCCAGAUGGGAUUAGCUAGUAGGUGGGGUAACGGCUCACCUAGGCGACGAUCCCUAGCUGGUCCGAGAGGAUGACCAGCCACACUGGAACUGAGACACGGUCCAGACUCCUACGGGAGGCAGCAGUGGGGAAUAUUGCACAAUGGGCGCAAGCCUGAUGCAGCCAUGCCGCGUGUAUGAAGAAGGCCUUCGGGUUGUAAAGUACUUUCAGCGGGGAGGAAGGGAGUAAAGUUAAUACCUUUGCUCAUUGACGUUACCCGCAGAAGAAGCACCGGCUAACUCCGUG
rnacentral:rRNA from 1 species